rnacentral:rRNA from 1 species
UACGUAGGGGGCUAGCGUUGUCCGGAAUCAUUGGGUGUAAAGCGCGUGUAGGCGGCCCGGUAAGUCCGCUGUGAAAGUCGGGGGCUCAACCCUCGGAUGCCGGUGGAUACUGUCGGGCUAGAGUGCGGAAGAGGCGAGUGGAAUUCCUGGUGUAGCGGUGAAAUGCGCAGAUAUCAGGAGGAACACCUGCGGUGUAGACAGCUUACUGGACCAUAACUGACGCUGAGGCACGAAAGCGUGGGUAGCAAACAGG